GCUUCUGCUGCCCCUUCCCCUCCUGGAGCAACCCGUGCUUUUGAAAAAUGACCAUGCCGAAGGGGAACUAACACUUCCAGCCUGCAGCAGGUCGUGUCAAUCUGAUUUUUUAAAUGACAGAGGAGGUUCGAGGACGUGGCUCAUGGUGGCAUUGCCACUCUCCGGGAUGAUCCAAAGAUCAAGGAGGAGGAAAGGAUCUUCUGAAUGUGAGCACAUUCACAGACCCAGAGGACGGAGAGGUAUUUAAAGUAAACUGGAACAAACCUGCAACAUCAGGUGCGUUCUGCCUUCAAAAAUAGCUGCCAGUUAGAAAGGGUUAUUUACAUAUUGAUUUCAUGCUAACUUUGUAAUGGAAUGUGCUGCCUGCCUGCCUGAGACCUAACAACUGUCAUCAUAAUUUUUUCUAAAAAUACAGUCAGAGAAAAACACUCAGUGAACCCUCCACUGGAAAGUGGCUGCGAAAGACCCCAGAUACCAAACCUACUUGACGGACCACCUCCAAGGCUAGGGAUACUCAACAACCAUAGCUGAGGGAACGUUCACAGCUACAAAGGCUGGCCUUUCCUUCCUCUAACCAGCCUGCACUCCUUUUUUUUUUGUAUGUCAUUCUAGAAAACCUGUCUUGUUCGAAGGUGAAGGAGAUGCCUCUCUCUGCAGAGUGGCCUUUAUGCAAACUCCAGCUGGCCCCUGAUCAGAAAUAAUGGAUGGCCCAGAGGCCGAGUCGGCCCCACCAGCUCCAAUGAUCCCUCCUGGGUGCAUUCCUGAAGCGGUUUCUCCCCACCCUCUCUCUAUUCUGCACCAAGGGGCCCCACCUCUCAGGCCUCCUAACAAACAGCGGCUUCCAGCCGUUUCUCACUCCGGAUCCUUCCAACCCUCCAGGUCUGUCCCUAUGGAGGCUACGGAGCAGAUCCCUGGCGGGGCUGUCAUCAUAUUAGCAAUGGAAAUGCCUCUUUUUGCCAGGCCUGGUGGAGUUGAUUCGGUUGUGAUCCCUGGCAUAUGGAUGGCAUAUUUGCCGCAAGCUAGGUGAGAUGAGUCCCAGAAGGCCCGCCACCAGCCCCCGCAGCCGCGUCCCCAGCCGCUCCCUCCCGGGCAGGCGGGCAGUCGUGUGAGCAGUUACAACGGCCAGAACCAGCCAUAACUGCUGCCCACUUUGUCUCCAGCCGGGCCCCCACUGCUGGGGACAAAUCUUUCAUUCAUGAAGAGGAGCUUGUUAGGCCAACUCUGGGGACACUAAAGCCACUUAAUUAAAUUGUGGAAAGU
rnacentral:lncRNA from 1 species